AAAAGCUAUCUAUCCUGUUCACUUGAGUAGCCAGGUAAAGGUUGCAUAGACAUUAACUUUUUUCUCAGUGAGUAGUGGAUAAAAGGUCCGGGAAGUUUUGUAUUUUGAUACAGUGCGCUCCUUUCCCCUCUUCCUGUCUGUGUGUGAGCAGACUUGGCAGCACUGAAGCAAAGUGACAAAGUCCUGACUUACAACGUUUUAUUUUCUUUUUUGACACUGAAAACUAACUGCAUAAACUAGCUGCUUUGAUAUGAGGAUGAGAAACUUCUUGGCACUUUGUAUUUCUUGUUGCCCUUACAGAAUAGUUAAUAACAGCAAUGUAAUAAAAUAACAUUUAAAUGAAUGAUUUGAUGGCCUUUGUUUCUUUUCUCAAAACAUACCAAAAGAUUGCUCAGAAUUUUUUACCAUCUCUUUGGGGUACAAAGUCUGUUCAGUGUAUGUGAUAUAUAGCCUGUGAAGUAUUAAAUGAUUCGUAAGCUAGACUCAAUUUAAGCAAAGCAGAGAACUCAGUCUAGUGCUAGAGUGCAAGACUGGAAAUCCACAGUUAACAUGCUUCUCUGAGGAUGAGCAAGUCAGUUUCUCUGCAUUGCAGCUUUCUUAUCUCUAACCUCGCACGGGUGUUGUAAGCAUUAAUUGCUUCCUGUAUGUUAAGAUGCAGAAAUGGAUGUUGCCUGUGUAAGUGCAAAGUAUUUUUUCUCUGUUCAUUUUUAAUACUAAUAGUAGCAUGUUUGUUCCAAGUAGGAAAAAGUCAUGGUAGAAGAAAAUAACAAUCCACAAGAGUUUGGCACCCUUAAAACAAUACUCUCCUUCAAAAUUAAUAAAUACAAAAAGAAACAGCAAAAUUCAGGGAGUGCCUUAUUCAUUUAGUCCUAAUGCCGUGUUAGGUUCUGGGCAUGCCACCUGUUUGAAAGAGCAGUUUGAAAAUACUUCAGUGUAGUUUUGUCUCAUGGAAGGACUUUUUUCGCCACCUGACUAGUAACCAUGCACUGUCAUAGGAAAGAAGCGUUCACUUCUCAGUAUAGUUUUCCCUUUAGUUCAUAUAAUAAGACAACUGCUAUCUUUAUUCAUGAAAAUAACAAACCUCCAAAUGGUACUAAGAUACUUGCUCUCAACAAGCUCCUGACAGUGCAACUGCACAGAUCUUUAAACUAACGUAUAAAAGAUACUUUCUGUGUCAAAAAAUUUUAAUGCUUCAUUUUUCCCUAGUUGUUCAGAACUAGAUUCCUCUGUAAUAGCAGUUAUUUCCUCCGUGCAUACCAAGACGUCUGUCUUCAGUAUUGUCUUUGUCCCAGUGUUAAAGAUGUUGAUCAUUCACAGUUCCAGGUGAUUUCAGUACAAGUGGGGUGUAUUAAGCAACUCUGCUUCAGUCAUGUCAGUGGUUCUGCAGUAACCCAUCUAGUUUGUCUGCUGUUAUUUUCUGGUUUUCAUAUCCUUUAAUAUAUCCUAGCCAAAUGAUACAUAAGGCCAAGGAAAGACUUCUGUCUCCAAACUUAAAUUAUAUGUCACUACAUAGUAUUCAUGUUCUUUUUAGAUUAAUGUAUUCCUGAAAAUUUAGGAAUGCAAUACAAAGCCACAGAGGUACAAGAAUGAAUAAAACAUGCAAGGGUAAAUAUACAAACUUUGAAUGUAUGGCUUGUGUAACAGCGUGGUGUUUGCACCAAAGCAUCUGUUUUAUAACUUGCCGUGGGUGGGCCACAUGCCAGUAACCAUGAUGAAAGGAAUCCCAUUUUUCAGGAAAAAAUUCCGUAAUACCUAAUGUAUGAUGUUAAAGGGCACAUCAGAGAAGAAUGGACAUACUUGACUGAAUCAAAGGCAGUGAUCUGGCAUGGAUGCUUGGAAACAGUAUAAGAAAUAGCCAAAAUAUAAAAUAAUUCUUCUCUCGGCAAUCUGUGUUUCCAGCAAUUAGCAGCGUAGAGUUUCCACAGUGAGGGGGCUGCAUUCAGACCAUCACAUUUAACAUCUAUUUGUAGAUCUUCUGUGAAUUUCUCUUAACAUCUAUUUUAAUCUAUUUUGACUUUUGGUUUCAACAACAGCUUGAGCCAUAGAGUUCCAAGAUUAAUUAUACAUUUUGUAUAAAAGUACCUCGACUUCACCACAUUAGCUGUAUACUUGCUGCUUGAUAUUCUCACUGGGUGGUUUUCCAUUCAUGUAUUCUGAGGAACAGUGGACAGUCAUUUUUAAUAUACUUUUUAAUUACAUCUGUGAUUUCACAGGCAUCAGUCUUUCUUCUCCCAUAGCCUUUACAGGCAGAAGAAAAGUCCGGGUCACUUGCGUUUCCCCUAUAUGAAAGCCACUCCACAUCUCCACUCAUCCUCAUCUUUCCCUAUGCUCUUUUGUGUGUGUGGGGGGGGUCCUACUAGAACUUUUCUUUUUCCUUCCCAGAGAAAAUAGGAAUUUAGAACAUCCCUUUGCUCUCCAGAUACGUAAGUGGUAUCACAGUCAGACUGGUUAUCAGUAGGUUGAUUGUGUGACCUGCAUAAGUUCAUGUCUACUAAGCUUUUACAGGCUGGAAUGUAAUAGUGCUUAAAUAAAACCAGUGCUUUUUCUUGGCAAGUACUUUCAAACAUUGUGUUGCAUUAUUUAAAAUGUAUAUAGUGUUGUGCCAAAAAAAAUGUAUUCCUAGCUCUACUCUAAUAUCUACCACAACCUUCUAACCAAUCUGUCAUGCCAGAAGGUAACCUUUUUUUUUCUGGCAGGUGAGGUUGGAGAAAAAGGUUAUGUAUACUUAUUUCCUAGAACGAAUCCUUUGACUUGUGUAUGAUCUUAUGCAGAAAGGAAAACAAAGCUGAAGAAGCCAAUUCGUUUUCAUCUGAAUUUUAUAUCAAUAAUUACACAAAAUACAGAACUGUUUUCUACCACCUAAUAGAAAUAAAAUGGGCUGAUAGAUAACAGACUGACAGUUAUUGCAUGUAUACUGCCUUUCAGUGUAAUUCAUUUAUUAUUUUUUAGGUAAUAGCAGCCUAUACUGUUCUACUUACUCAAUUUUAUUGCUUUUGCUAUAUUACCUUUUCAAAUGCAGAACCACAGGUAAACCAAAUGUAACUAUUCAUCAACCCCAUGAAGUAUCAUUUAUAACAUUAAAGCAAUCACAGCUAAUGCAUCAGUUAAUCCCUCUGAUGGAGACUUCCUGUAUGACUACACAGUCUGGUUUUACCAUUUGAAAAGAAAUGGGAUAACCUUUGAGAUAAAUUUUCCUGCCCUAUAUGAGAAGGUUGAAAUACCCUUGCAUUUAAAUACUUUAUGCCCUGUACUCCCUUUAUGUCUUGAACACAAAUCUUAGAGCUUUUUUAAAGCAGAGCAUGACACUUAGUCCACUCAUCUGAUAUAGUAGGUGUGUGCAGUGAUAAAUUACAUACAUUUGGCAGUAGUUCAGUUACUUCAGACUUUAGUUUCUUGAAGACUCUUAGACAAAUGUCAUCUGGGCUUUGUGAUUUAAUUUCCUUUUUUUCUUGCACAUCUUAGUAACUGCCUGUGUCUUGCCUUCCUUAUUUAUAAGGGGUAAACCUUGGGCUGCUUCUUGCUAGAAUCCAUCUUUCUGGAAUCAUUUACCUCUGCUUCUGUUUUCUUAAUUAAAUAAUGGAAUAUCUUUCUCUGAUAAUGGAAGUGAAGUAAGGGCAUUAGCAUUAAUACUGCUCCAUGUUUUGCAUGCAUCUUACUUAGAUGCAUCAAUCUGCUUCAAAUUUUAAAAGACGAGUAAGAUCAGUAAAGCUGGAAAACACACAGAACCGAGUCUAAACCUUUACACUGAAUUUGAGUCUCUUUCUACAGCUAUGGACCCAGGAAGAAUCUCAAAUCUCAGUGAACUCUGUUUCAGGUCCAGUGAGAAGUCAGUGUUGAACACCCCAAGGUUUUAGGCAUAUCACAGCAACCAGGUCAAGAAAUGAACAACACUGAAUUCGUGAGACUGUGGCAUUAACCCUCCACUUCCCUCAAGACUUUAAAGAAGAUUUUGGUGAAAUUUUAGCUGUCAGCAGGUAUGGAGUUAACAUUAUCACUUUUCUCUUGAGUUAGAAGUACAGAAUAAGGUUCUAACAUCAUACUCCUGCUUUUGCACAGGAGUGUCAGUUAGUGUGGUACCAUUGCUCUAGGUUAUUUACAUACAUUCACACAUUCUGUAAAAGCUGCUUGGUGCUUCACAAUGUUCUAGAAUAGAAACUGUCAUCGGGAGUUCAUUGUAGUCGGUGACUCCAAAGCCUCCUUGAGCUAACAUAACAGUGUAAAAGUGUAUCUAUUACAACAUGGUUUCAAUUCUUAUUUUGAACCACCUACACAAGAGGGUGGCAAACCUUCUCACUUCUGUAUAAAGGAGAUCACAAACAAAGCAGACUCACAUCAUCCUUAUUUUUCAAGGAAGAGUAGGCUUCCUAUUAUUCAAUAAAGAAACUCUAGACACUAAGGCUAGCAGAAUCUACUUCCCUGGUGAGGUCCUGAAAAUCUCUUCAGUGUGCUGUCCCUGAGCAAAAACAGUCAAAGCUGGUGGAUGUCUAAAAUGAUAGGCUGGUGCAAGUUAUUAAUGAAAUAAAAGCCUAACAAUAAAGGACAAACCAGUGUCUGCUAGAAAUGUGUAUAAUUUACUCUACAGUGAAGACAUAAGUAGGUACUUUCCACUGAGUGAGUAUCACCUGAGUAUGACUUCGAAGAGAAAAAAAAAAGGUGCUUCAAUAUAUUGUGUUAUCCAAGGAAACAAUUUUAAUCUGAUGUCUCUGGUCCUUUACUGGACAGGAAUAAGGAGAUAAAGGAGAAUUAAAAACGUGUCUUAAAAUCCUAGAGCAGUAAUAGUGACUGGAGCAUUCUUUUUUCAUAUUUUAUAGAUGUUUUCAUAAAAAAAUGUAACAUUAUUAAAUAAAAUUAUGCAAACAUUAACUACAAUCUAUGUCUAUCGAAUGACUCAAUUUCUCCCUCAUUCACUGCUUUAACCACAGCAGUACAUUUAAAUGGUAGUGUUCUGGACAAAGCUGAAGAAACCAGUCAUUAACACAAUACCUGUGGAUUCAUAAUGUUAUAGCUUAUCCUGCUUGAGUAAUAACUUUGUAAGGCCUCUAUUAUACAAGAAUAAUUCAGUCUGCACUAGCUAUAUCCUUAUUUCAGUAUUCAAAGAAAGAAAAGAAGGAAUCAGCACAUCACUUCCAGCCCAAGUAACCAUAUUAAUAGACAGCCCAUGUAAAGUCUGUUCUUCUUGUAAAAUUACUAAAAGCACUGGUUUUGUGGUAUGGCUGUAGUGCACAACAGAGUGCCUUUCCAUCGUGCAUCUCCAUGCUCAAGUCCUGACAGAAAUGUGACCAUUUUGGCUUGUGGUACAGAGCUAUUUGAAGCUAUUGCUGCCAACUCGGGAAUUUCUGCGUUGCACUAUUGAAAAGUACACAGUCUUGCAGGAGCCUAUGUUGUCCUGAAAUCAAUUGUUUAGGCUUCUAAGUCACUAAUGUUUUUGUUCUUAUGUGACCCCAGUCCUACCAGGUGGGCUACCAGGGCCUGUUCAUAAGCGUUCUGGGAAAAUCACGAAGGAGGAAAUAAGACAUUUUCAUGCCAAGAUGAAAUACAAAAAGAUGGACAAAAUAUAAACAAGUUGUUGGAUGUAUGGCUUCUAUUUGCUGGGCUACAGCUAAAGCAUGCUCACUGUCAGCAAAGGCUGGACAGCUACGUCACCAAAAGUUUCACAAUGCAGAAGAGAUAAGGGAUUAAAAAGCCAAGUGUUUCAAAAAGCCUGUUGUAGCACAUUGUGUAGAGAACUCUUAUGUAGCUGUAUGUACAGGUUCACAAAAUCUAAUAAUGGUAGCAUAAUGAAGUUAAUAUCCUUUGGCGUGCUCCAUGGCCAACAGAGAGGGGUACUCCUCAGCAAGUAAAUCGGGGCAGCUGAGGUUCCUGCUCCAGAGCCCUCUCUGGAGGAGCCUCUCUCAGUUGGCUUUACAGGGAGCUCUGGCGGGUGUUUUGUGAGGUUGAGGCUAACUUAAACCUUUAGAAUAUCCUCCUGUAGGCAUUGAGAGAGCUCUGAAGAUUGUUCCAAUUAAAUCCUCGGACUGCUUAACUCUGCAGCGCACUGUGGAAGGAGGAAUCAGUGAAACUGGCCAAAGUAAUACACAUGCAGACAAACAGUGGCACUUUGAGGAUAGAAUUAAGUAGAUACAUAACUACUAUUGUCAAUGUAAUAUAUAUUGACUAAAUCUAAAGUGCUCUAUAUAUAUGCAUUUUCCAAGCACAGAGGUCAAAUGAAGUCGAAUGAUGCAGAUAUCUGAUGAACUAAAUUUUAUGGUUUUAAGGAAAAAAAUGCUGUAUUCAUAUUUAGUAUUAUCAACCAAAACAACAACAACAAAAAACCAACCAUACAUUUUUUUAGUGGUUAUUAUAUUUUAUGGUUUAUGAAUUAAGAAGAAGGAGCUGUAAUGGGAAAUGUAUUACUGUGGCAUAAGUAUGACUAUCAUAACAUGAGAAAUGUUGAUGGUGGUUUUGUAUUAUGCAGUGUUAACUUUUCACAUGAUUUACAUGGGUUAACUUGAAAAAUAAUUAAUGCUGGAAAGCCAAGGCUACUGCUAUUUGCAGAGGUUUUCUUUUUCAGAAAUAAAUUUUGUACCUGCAGUUGCUAUAAUAUCAAAGGAUAUUAUUUGGUGUAUAUUCUAUACAGGUUCAUGUGCAUGCCCCAGGUUUUUUGCGGGGUGGCUCCAUGAAGGAGAGAAACAUCAGGGGGAUAAAACAGGAUAUGCAAGAAAGAUCUAAUGCCAUGUUAUUGUAAAUGCAAAGCAAGAAUAAACCAAUAAAUUUAA